GAAAAGGUUUCUCAGAAACCACACAACACAUUCAAACAAAUGAUA
rfam:Mesitornis unicolor contig6772, whole genome shotgun sequence.